CCUACGGUGCAGCAGUGGGGAAUAUUGGACAAUGGGCGAAAGCCUGAUCCAGCCAUGCCGCGUGUGUGAAGAAGGCCUUCGGGUUGUAAAGCACUUUCAGUGGGGAAGAAAGCCUUGGGGCUAAUACCCUCGAGGAAGGACAUCACCCACAGAAGAAGCACCGGCUAACUCCGUGCCAGCAGCCGCGGUAAUACGGAGGGUGCGAGCGUUAAUCGGAAUUACUGGGCGUAAAGCGCGCGUAGGCGGUCUGAUAAGCCGGUUGUGAAAGCCCCGGGCUCAACCUGGGAACGGCAUCCGGAACUGUCAGGCUAGAGUGCAGGAGAGGAAGGUAGAAUUCCCGGUGUAGCGGUGAAAUGCGUAGAGAUCGGGAGGAAUACCAGUGGCGAAGGCGGCCUUCUGGACUGACACUGACGCUGAGGUGCGAAAGCGUGGGUAGCAAACAGGAUUUGAUACCCUUGUAGUC
rnacentral:rRNA from 1 species